UGCGGCAUGUGGGAUCUUCCUGGACCAGGGAUCGAACCUGUGUCCCCUGCAUUGGCAGGCGGAUUCUUAACCACUGCGCCACCAGGGAAGCCCGCCACUUCCUCUUUAGGAGCCCUGACUCAUCAUUCUCAGUGCAAAUCCCAUUCACAAUUUCUUUGAUAAUUGUUUGUUCCUUGGCCAGAAAUCUGGUUCUUGAAUUCCCUCUCCUGUUCUUUUCCAUGAUCUGGGAACCAUCUUUGCGAACCAACCCCAUCUCCGUUUUAUGGAGCCAGAAGGACAGAGAGGUAGAGCCCUGUCUAGGCAGCGACAGAGCAAGCCUACAGGAGCCGGGAAUGCCUCCUUACGUGAAUGCCCUCUUCUUGUCUUUGGAUGCGAAGGGAAAGGAUGUGAUCCCCGAAGGAAAGGGCAGGGUUGUCCAGAGCAGGGUGUGUUAUCAACUAGAAGAGCACCCGCACCCAGCCACCUCGAUCUAAAUGUGCACACAAUGGAAAUAUCUUCACAGCCAAGGGCCCCUCCCUCCCAAAGAGAAAAUCCCACAAGUGGGGAACAUCUGGAUCAAACCGCAACCAUGAAAGCACAACAUCAAACGAGGGUUUCAGAGGGACCCUCCCCGCAGGCCCUGCUCCAAGAGAAAUUGCAGAUCUUCCUGCUUGAAGCUUUUAAGUGUCACAGAACCACUCAAGUUUGGGAUCUCUCCUUAUUCACCAGAGACAGAUGUCCCCAAGUGAGUACGGUUGGGUUUGAUUACCCCCAGCGGGAGAGGAUGUGUGUGACCUGAUCCGGGCCACGUUGGGGGGUAGCCUGGGAUUUAAAGCUGUGAUGAGGGGCUCCAGCAGUUCAGGCUGGGGGCUGGGGAGAGAGAGGGGACAGGUGGGCCUUUUAAAACGUGCCUACAUCAAAGGUCUGAGUAGGCUCCCUUCCCAGCUUUUGGCGCCUCAGGGCAGGAAAGCAGUGAUUUCACCACAUAACUGCACGUAGGAGUAGGACGGAUCUCAGUCUGAGAACUUCUGGGGAAUGUGGAGAGGGGAGGGAGGGUGUUCCCCAGAGGGGAGGACAGGACAAGGGGGUUUUCUCAUUUCCAAAAUAGCCUGCCCAGGCCAAGGAGAAUGGGGCCAUAUGCUGCCUCCCUCCCACUCUCCCCCUGUGGAGGGAUGUGGGGGAGGGGGGCAUUCUUCCAGGGGGGAGAGGAGGGAGCAGCUGCAGCUGUGGGAGGUGGGAGCUGGGUCCGGAUGGAGAAUGAAGGGGAAGCAGGGGCAUCUUCCCCAAAGACACGAAGGAGGAAGGCUGCAGAGCAUGUAAUUCUAGGAGACGAUAGGCUCUUCCUUCCUGGGUCCUGGGAAUCAGAGAGCACCUGGCCACGAUGCUGGCAGGCUGGGAUGGACAGUGGGGAAGAUGGGAUAGGAAGGUGCCCCAGAUAUGGCUGGAAUCCCAGUUCAUGUUUGAAUACUCUGCCCAGAGGGCAGGUGGGUGAGAGAGUGCUGGGAUGUUGACAGCACGCUGUGACCUUGGUUGAAGAAGCCAAUGGUUUCUUCUUAAGGUGAAAGGUGACCUUCAGUUGGGAAGGGUGUGGGGAGAAGAAGGGUACCACUUGCUUAUAGUUUACAUUAGCCUCCCUUUCAGGAUGCCUUCCCUGCCCCCUUCCUCUCCCCUUUCCCCUGAGAGGUUUAUGUGUGGGCGUGGUACCCCACGAUGCCAGGGAGGUGUAUCACCGGUGGAGGUCCAUCCUUCACUGCCUUACAAAGAUCUGCUUACGGUUUCUUUUCCCAUCUAGACUGUCAGCUUUGAAGGCAUGGACUCCCUCACUGUAACUGGGUUGCUAGUGCCCCACACAGUGCCUGGCAGAGAGUAGCUGCUUGGUGAUGAAGCCCUGCUCCAGCUUCCAGCUGGAGCGCGUUCUCCCGCCGCCAGCCUUCUGGGAAACAAAACAACCCACGCGAUGAUUCCUCUGCAGCCUCGAGGCCUCUGAGGGGCUACCAGGGCAUCUCCUAUCUGACCUCCUCUGGGAGUCUUCUGGGGGGACCCUAGUUGACAGCACUCUCUCCCACCUCUGAAAUGUAUUGUCCACAAGAUUCACCCGGGAUUUCCCUGCUGGUCCAGCGGUUAAGGCUUCGCAAUUUCAGUGCCUCCUCUUCAGGGGGAACGAGUUCGAUCCCUGGUCGGGGAACUAACAUCCCCCAUGCGGUGCGUGGGGGCGGCCAAAACAAACAAAGAAACAAACGAAAGCAAACGAAAAAAGGUCUCACUACACCUUCAUGGUAAGGGCUAUUAUUGUUAUUUACUAAUCUGGGAUGGAUGUGUCUUUCUUGGUUGUGUGAGACCCGAGGCUCUUUGGGACCGCAGUGCCCAGCAUGGAGUCUCCUCAGGACAGGCUGGCUGUCGACUAGCUAACGCCUCCAAGUCCUAGUGUCUAAGCUUUUGAUGUGGUGGCUCCUCUGGGGCUCUGAUGGCUGAGCGUCGGGAACUGCUGAGUCGGGAUGUCUUGGCGUAAUCGGGUGAAUUGGACACACACGUGAAGGAGCCCGGUCCCAGUGAGGUGAGGCCUGAAUGACCCUGCAGGUCGAGAGAAUGCUUGAGCGGGAAUGUUGCGAAAAUGACCAAGGUCGGUGGGCUCUAUUCAGAAAAACUCUUUGGGCAAGGAACGUAUGAAAGAGGUUGGAAGGAGAGAAGGGCAGGGCUGGCAGAGGUUGCAGGAGGAUAUCCGGGUGGGAUAGGCUUGGCCGUGGGUGAGGAGGCUAAGGCGGCUCUGCCUGCAGGUGAGGGCCCAGGAGGGAGGGGCUUGGGCAAUUGUAAACAUUCCCUCUACACUGUGAGGACUGUGACCACGGCUCCACAACCCGCUCCCAUCCCUCCCCAAACUCUAGGCCAGGAGGGAUCCUACCUCUCACCGCCAUUUCUAGGCCCAGGCUGACCUGUGCUCCCGCGACAUCACCUGACACCGAGCUCGGGGUGGAUCAGCUUUGCUCUGUACCCUCGCGGUCCUCCCUGGGGCUGGAGCUGCCUUUGAAGUUGCUGGAGAGAAGAUUGGUGAGCUGUCGCCUGAGCCUAGAUCUCCCAGACAUCCGUGAGGGGAGGGGAUCUCCACUUUGAGCCCUUUUUCGGGGGGCUGAGGUGUUGACACUUUAGUUGUCAGAACUGACGUUUCUCAUCUGUGAAUGCGGCGCGAAGCUGACCGAAUUGCCAGCAUCUCUGGGCUGCUGGGUGGCAGCACUGCUCAGCUCCAGGGACCAACCACUCACCGCACUCCUGGAGCACAACUCCAGGUGGAGCCAUUCACAUAGAAUUUGACGUGUACGGUCGCCGCAUUCCCCGCUGCCCAAGGUCGCGCGGUGAUGGUGGGCCACCAUCGUGCCCUUUUUGAGGCAGGGUUCUGUUUACCAGUCUAAGCUAGUUAACCUGAGGACCAGGAAUAUUCAUGAGGCUUUGCCCGAGGACAGAGAGACGGACAAAAUAGUCUCCAAAGUCAUGUCCUCAUGAGACGUGGGCACCGGGAAACCAGAGUGUCUCCCAGACAACAGGUCCACAAAGCAGGGUGCAGUCUGAGGCCAAGUAGCAGGGAAAAGAAAUGACAAACUCCAUCCAUCGGGGAAGGAAAACUGUCUUUCACCCCCGGAUUGAAAAGAAUAACCCACGUGUAAAGACCCAGUGACACUUAGUAGGUCUGCAGUUACCAUGAGGUGAACCAGAAUCAGUGCUGACAUUCCAGCCUCUAGGUUCAGGGUUCUUGGAAGCAGAAAGGCCUAGCCACCCUGGUGACACUUGUGCAUGGGAAUUUGCUGAAAUCUGAAAUGAGAUCCUGACCCAGAUGGGGGUCAGGAAUUUGUUUCCUUCCCUUUUUCUCCUUCUUAGUUCACUGUUUAGGAUGAAAAAUGACAACCAGAUGAGCAAAAGAAUGAUUAUCAGGAAUGAUAAAUAAUACACUCCAGAUGUGGCCGGAGAGAAAUGCAACUGAAAGCACCACCGCCUCCAAGUAGUCACGUUGGGGCGACCCCCUUCUCCCAACAAGGCCACGAUGACAAAAGUUCUGUAACUCUUCUUUGGGAAUUGUCUUCAGGAAGUGGAGGGGAUGAGGUCAAAACGCACCCACACAGCAACCUGUUUCUAACAACGAUCGGUUAACCUACAUGAAGAACUCUCCAGUUGCAGAAGUUUCCUGGAUGUUUGCUUUCCUGAGGAAAGACCUGGAAGAAGGGGCUGCUGGCCUGCUUUUGAGUCUUGAUCCUCUCCCCUCCUGCCUCACCCGUGGACGCUGCCCUUGUCGUCAAGUAACAAGCUGGAUUCGAAAGGUGGGGAGGAAGGAAGGAGGAGGAUGUGGUGGUUUAGCAGUGGGGAUGAGCCCGGGGGGUAGAAGGGUCCCCUGCAGGUCAUAAAUGUUCUCUUGGAGGGUGGGGAGUCCCGGCCCAAGAUUCCUGAUCGUCUCCAUCCUCCAACCCAGAAAGAAGAGAAGGCUAGACUCAAGGAAGAACUUACUCAUUUUCAGUAGCGGAAACAAGCAGCUCCUCCUUCAGAGCUCUGUGAUAGGGCAAGGCCAAUUCCUAUUGACAGCAACGUUGCUCAGAGGCCUUGAAAUGGAAUUGCGGGGAGUGAGGGGACUGUUUCCUCAGGUGCCCUGUUGGUGGGGACAUUGUCACUUGUUGUCCUGGCACAAGGACUCCCGAAAGUGUGCAGUCACGCGCGCUGACCUAGCCACUCAGAGCCUAACUGACAAGCGUCUGCAGACACAGGAGUGUGCUCCGAGGAGCCUCUGGGGACAGGGCCCUGGGGUCCUCGUGGGUGGAACAAGCCCCCCUGAAGAACAAGCCAGGACACCAUUCAAAGAGGGGAGCUCUGGGGACCCUCUCCGCCGUCCACCACCUCCUCUCUCAUGAGCGAACCCCAGCGUUAGGGCACGUUGCAUCUACCCAGCACCACCCCUCACUGGCCGGGAGAACACAGACUUCCCUUGGGGCCCAGGACUGGAAGAAAUAGGAGUGCAUAUUUAUACUGGGUUGUGAGGGACACAAAGAUAAAAGGACCCAGAGAUCAAAGAGCCCCCAGAAGCUCGGUGUGCAGACCUCUGGGUCUAGGAUUUGUUCUGUAAACAGAUUUCCUUCUCCUUUGGGGAAAACUCACAUGGAGGGAUCCCUCCCUUAGGGCUUGUGGUGGUUCCACGCUGGGAGCAAGGGGACAGCCUGAGGUGGGCCUCGUUGGGACACAGGCCUGCCUCCUGCUGGGGCACAUCUCUGACUGCCCAAGCCGUGCAGAACUCCACAGAAGAAAGGGACAGGAAAGUUGUGUACAUGCCGUGGUGGGUGAAAGGCAGAACGAGCCCAGAUCAUCCAUUGACGUUUGUGCUUCCAUGUGGCUCCCAGGUCGAGAGGGUUCAGACCUUCCACGACUCAGGGCCCUGGGUUAAGGAGGGUGCGUGGAGAUCCUGAGCUGGGCACUUCCGGGCCACGGAGAACAAAGGAGCCGGGGUACAGGCAAACCUCCAUCAGAGAGGUCGUGUGUGUGUGUGUGUGUGUGUGUGUGUGUGUGUGCGCCUGUGGGUCAGCAUCCAUCCGUAGGGAGCGGGGAGGGAAAGAAAUGGUGAAGAGAAUAGGAGAAAGAGAAGAAAUAAAAAUGAAGGCACUGAAACAGAGAGAGCAAGCUAACAGACCCACACAAAGAGAGGCAGAGAAACACUGCAGGAGCCUGGGGACCAGGCAGCAGGAGGCGGGGAGGGGAGAGCCUCGGGAGGGUCAGCAGCGAAAACAAUCGGCCAGGCUUCUGCCCGGGAAGGUGGGCAGGAAGGCAGGGAGGGGAAUGGGUGGCAGAGAAAGCCCCCCCUUGCCGGGCAGGGCAGAGGAGCCGGAACCCGAGUCUCCCAGCUCCCAAGCAAUCAGCCUUCUCCCCCUGCCCUCGCCCUGAGCCCAGAGCUGAGAUUGACGGGACUGCAGCUUCUCUGGGUCUGGGUGGAUUUGAAUAAUUAAGUCAUCUGGAUUCUUAUGAUUUACCAUUUUCAGUGAUAAAUAGACAGUGCCCAAGCCAGCCAGUUGGCAAAACUCUGGCUGCUAGUUAUAAUUUGUCAAGCUGCCAGUAGAUUCAUGUUUCAUGCUAAUGGAGAGAGACUCAUUGACUGGGGAAGGCGGUGACCCGGUCAGCUCUUUCCUCAGGCACCCCAGAGGUCGAGAGGUCGGGGGGAGAAAGGCCGGGCCGGUAUGGAUUUGCUGUAAGGGUCAGUGUAAUUUUAUAAUAAUUCAGCGGGUACACACGCUCUCGAAUACACAGAGAGUCAUGUAUGCGGAGAUACGUUCGGAUCUGUGCACCUCCCCCGCCCAUGCACCUGCUCCAGUGCAGGCGUCUGGGCCCAGUGCACACAAGCCUGGUGCUGAAACACUUGUCCAGCCCCCCUCAGCUCACUUGCACAUGCACACCCUGCUGCCCCCUUCAGGCAUGUGAUGACACCUAAGGCAAACCUGCAGACCUGCUCAGACGCCCAGAGAAACAUAUCUCCCCUCACCGACAGUGCACACCUCAAAGAUGGGAAGAUACCUCUGGGGGACCCCUCUGACCACCACCCCAACCCCUUUAUUUCAGGGCUUUCGUGUCUGCCGUUCCCACUGCACAACUCUUGCUCCCUUUCUAACAGUCUUCCAGUGGGGGAGACAAAUGAGCCCUGGGGCCGUCCUAUUUUCCAACCGGCUGGGUCUGGGUAGCCGGAGUUGGGAAAGCACGGGCUCGGAGACAGGGCAUAUGGAAGGCGGCAAUCAAAAUCCAAACUUUCUUUUCCAUCAGUUCAUUUAUUUAUGUAUUUGUCCACAUGCACUAAAGCCUCACAGUGGCGAGCAUCUCAUGACUGACCGUCAUGAGAAACAGAGGUAGGGACAAGGCUUCGCACAUAGUAGGUACUAAAUAAAUAGCAGUGGCAGGAACAGCUGCAGCUACUGACUGAUUUCUCGACAGAACAAACUACUCAUUUCCCUUCUCUUCCUCCGCCUCAACAAACCUUUAUCAUCAGGGAAGGCCAGAGAAGAGGUGUGGGUCUGGGUGAAGCCCUCCUAUUCCUUGACUUGAGAAAUCUGGGCCUUUGGCGUGAUAAAAAAUGCUAAUUUUAUACCAACAGAAGCCAUCCGGUCUCAAUUUUGACCCCCAAAUGCCCUUAAAAUGGAUCAAUGAGCAAGGGAGGACUGAGGAAGGAGCAUCUGUCCUCCCUCCUGCCCAGAAGAGAAUGUGAAUUUGCUUUGAGUAAGUAGCUUGUGAGCAGGGCCAGAAGCCGCAGCUCCUUACCGUCGGCAGCUUUAAGGUUUGGCGGGGGCGUGCGGAAGGAUCAGGGGCCCGAGGAGAAACAUUGCCUUUCCCUGUCCACCAAAGCCCCUAAAGGAGAGAGAAAAACACAAUAGCGAGCCGAACAGAGCAGAGACCGAGGCAGCAAGGAGAACCCCCAAAGACAGAAGCUGCUUCCAGCGUCAGGCUCAGGCUCGAGGAUGCGGUCGCAGCUGUUGGCUCUGCCCGUGGAGAUUCAAGAUUCCGGAUCCUGCGAAGUGAAUUGGGUUCCCUCCUUCCCAGCGGGGCCAGGCUGGGGUCAAGGUGGCUGCUCUAGGCAGACAGUCUGGAACCCCUCCACCAAGGCCUGGAAUAAGAGGCCUCCCUUCUUUGCCGAGCAGAGGUGGAUGGCGGCGGCAGGCCCAGCUAAUCAGAGGCAUUCCUUGGAGAGACGGCCAAGAGCCAGAAUCGACCAGCUUCUCCAUUCAAGGGAAAGAGGACCCCUAAAUGCAUCGGGAAUAGGGAAACAGGCUUUGCUUAUUUAAUAGUUUGAGGCUUUGACCUGGUUUCACUGACGUCAUCCCACCUGCACCAAGGUGAGCUCCUGCAGGCCCUCACUCACCCCGGGAGAGCAACAGCCUUGGGGGCACCAGCAACUCCACCCCUAUGGGCAGGGGCAGGCCGACUGUGGCCUGCAGAUGGGUGAGGUGGGGAAGGAUUUUCUGGGGCAAGCCACGGGGACGUGAGGGCAGUAAUCAUGAUUGAUACAGAAAAUGUGUCGCUUCAUCCCGCAGUUGAUUAGCAAAGCUUCCUCCCCAUUUUGCCUCUCAUCUUCCGUUCCUAAUAUUUGCAUCCCGGUAAUGAACUCCUGAGGUCAGGGCACAUGUUACCUUGUCUGAAGGUCUCAGAGCAAAGCCUCUGAGUACGAAGACAGUACAAGAGCCCCAGCCUGGACUAGAUGAAGAGGGAGAGAGAAAGAAAAGGAAAAACAGGAAGAAGGAAGGAAGGGAGCAAGUGGGUGGGGGGAUGUGGAGAGAGAUAAAAGAAGGAAAGGAGCUUGAGAAUGGGGAGGAAAGCUAACAGAGCGAUGCUAAAGUUGGCCGGUGGUUUGAGGGUUGAAUCCUCAAGGCUUAUGCUGCCCUUGGAAGAUGUGCUGACCUUAGCGACCUGCCCCAUCCCACUUUGGGGAAACAAAGGAGUUAUCUAAUUGGCUUUAACUGGGUGGUUGCUGCUGGAGCACAUGGACAGCGUGGGGGAGCACAGGCCCAAGAGGCUGCAGACACACAACCACCCCAGGUCAACCUCCUCUAGAGGCUGAAUCUGAAGUCAUUUUGCCAAUUAAUCUCUGUGUGUGUGUGAGUUCUGUGAAAUACACUGCAGACCGAAAGUCCGCUUGCCCCAGGAAGGCAUGUCCUCGUUCUCUUUCAGCGUGCGAUGCUUUCUUUGGUUCCUCCAGCAUCUAUAAACCUCACACCAAGCUCUUUAUAGAUUAAUCCAACCCCUUCUGGCAUAGAGAAAUCCCUUGCCCCGGAAGGUAGCUUUCUGGGGCAGGGAUGGAGAUAAGUACGGCAAAGGAGGAAGAUUUUUCUUCUCACCAAGGAAGAAAAUGAAGAUGUCUUUCCCAGAACGCACCGGGCCUUAUCAUCACCCCUCUCUCACCUGCACACAUACAGGCAGGCUAACCAAAGUGCCAGAAGAACCCUCCAGUGCAAAGGGUUCAUUUGACACAGAGAACAAACUGAGGCCCAAGGUCACAGAGCCAGAGCAUGGCAGAACAAAGCAGCCCAGGCUGCAGACAGCGGAGGCAGGUCAGGAGGCAGAGCCAGGGUGGGUCCGCGACUCACCCCUCUCGAAACUGCUGCUUCUGCUUCCAGCACUGCUUUGGGAGCCAGAUAUUGACCUGCAGAGCCUCAAGGCCAGCCCCAGGCAGGUGCGGCUGCACGAGAACUCCUCCAGCUCUGUCAGCUACUUCGGAGAGAAGUGAGUCGCAAGAGGCUGGCCUCCGCCUCCGCCCCUCCUGUGGCGCCGGCCUGCAGCCUGCCUGGGGUGGGCACUGGAACCUGGGAGGUCAGGGUCACGGCAGCCAGGAUACCUGGGAGCCCCCGCCUCAGCCCCACUGGGCCUCUCCCCGCUCACCCUCCUCUCCGCGCCUUUCCUGCCGCUGUUCCUCCCGUCUAGACCCCCUUUCUGUUAACCCAGUUCCCCCUUCUUUCCUUUCUCUCUGUAUAUUUCUCAUUUUUCCUUCCUUCGUUUGCCUUCUUCCUGCCCUCCCUCCACUUUUUUCUCCUCUCUUCCUUCUUUCCU